CAGAAAUUGCAAGUCUCAGUAAAACGACCAUCAGAGAAAAUAACUAUCACAUUUGCUUCAUAUAUAUAUAUAAUGACAACUACCAGUUUUAUUUAUAAUUCUCUUAAAACCUCCUUAGCAUGGCUUUCUGAAAGAAAAACUUUAUUUUCUUUACUGCAAUAUAUUGGCGUUCUACAGGAUAUGACACUUGAUCAAAUAUAUUCUUUAUUCUUUUAUGCCUUUCAGGUGGGUUGUUGCUUUUCAAAGCUCAUCCGAAACGUAGAAACUUAUCCAAUGCGGGAGGUUCAUAACUCAUGACUACAAUAUAGCUUCGACAGACGAUUGUAAACUACUCUGACGAUCGUCUUGUUUAAAGGAAAAAAGGGAAAAUAUAUGAACAGAUAUAUUGCUGGAAACUUUGUCAUAACCAGUUCGCGAUUACAUCCUUUGACUGACUAUAUUGUUCAGCAAUAACGUGUGAUCACUUUUCAUAGAGGAUUUUAUAACCAUAGCUGGUAAAGCAGUCAGGAAUUUUAACGACAUCAGCUGGCACAUCAUCAAUACUUUCAGAGGUAUUUAAUAUCAGUAACACUGACUGUGACAUUUGAAACUUUUUGUUUGAUAGCGA